UGCCCUUCGCCACGACGAUCGCAUUACUCACGCGUAAAUGAAAACCGACAAGUAAACCCCGAUAUGCCAGCCGGACGGGGACCACGUGACGAGGUUUUCCUCCUUUCGACGAACUCUGUUCGCACUGUUCCCUCGGCUGUGGCCAUCGGUUGUGGUCCUCGACGGGCUGGAUAAACAUGCAUUUUAGGACAUACAACGAUUUGUGAUACAUUUUACACCCCCCACCCCCCAAUUAGUCCCCCCGUGACCACUACAUGGGGUUACCAACUCGUAAGUAACAUUGUGCAAAGUGCUUACGUGUUUGCAAUGCUCAUGAGACCAGGGCACAAGUGCAUGUGGAAGAAAUAGAGACAUGCCUUGUUUGGUUGAGGGCUAACAAGCUUAAGCCACCCUUGGUCUGGCUGCCGUAAGGCUUGUGAACUCAAGCUCGUAACCUCGAGCAUGCUUUGCAGCAUCACACGUCCCGGGCAUUUCCUCAUGCCAAUAACCCCAACAGCAUCACGACGGUACACCUUUAAUCAAGUCUGAAUUACGUGCUUAGACAUGAAAAAGGUCUUGCCGUACCCCCCAGCCCCACGCAGAAACACGUGUGCUUGAUUAUGUAUAAUGGGCACCGACGCCACGCCGACAGUCAACACCCGCCGCAACCUACACACACAAAACGCGCGUCAGCCACUCCAUACCUAUGAGUGAAGAUCAGAGAGACAAGUAUCAUGCGCUAGAUAUUUGUUAGCGUAUGCAAGGAUUUAUGUUAUGGGCGCUCAAUUGCGUUAGCAUAAAGAAGACUCUAAAUGUAACCACUUGCCUAGAACUACCAAUGAUUGGCCGUCACAAGAACUGGCCAGCCAACUAAGACAACUGAUCACUCGCUCUGCUAGUGCUUACAGGUCUUCAAACCCAUAACCUAAAUCCAACAAGGUGUUAUGAAGCUUAAGCAGGUCAACGAAGUGGAGCCUACGGUAGGACUGGAGGAACGUUAAGACAAUUGUCGACCAGGUGGGUUGGUACUACAGCUUUGUUGUACCCUCUCGUUGUGUAAAUUUGGUAAAGAGAAUGAUUAGAGGUCCGGGGGUUCGAAGCAUUUCCACCUAUUCUCAAACUUUAAAUAUGUAAGACGUCCGGAUUGCUCGGUUGAACUCGGGCUUUCAAUGGGAGCUCCAAGUGGGCCUUUUGGGUAAGCAGAACUAACGACACAGGAUGAACCGAAAGCCGGGCUAAGGUGUCGGACUGCGCACUAACCCAGAUCCCACAAAGCGUGUUGAUUGAUACAGACAGUAGGACGGUGUUCAUGGAAGUUGAAAUCCGCUUUGGAGUGUAUAACAACUCACCUGCCGAAUCACAUAGCCCCGAAAAUGGAUGACGCUCAAGUGCGCGACCUAUAGCCGGCCAUGGGCGCAAGUGCGAAGCGGCAGGGAGGAGCGGGGUAGGAGGGCGUGGGCAUCAGGGCGUGGGCAUCGUGACGCAUCUUGCGGCGUGAGCCAGGGUCAAACGGUGCCUAGUGCAGUUCUUGGUGGUAGUAGCAAAUAUUCAAAUGCGAACUUUGAAGACUGAAGUGGAGAAAGGUCCCAUGUGAACAGCCAUUGGACAUGGGUUAGUCGGCCCUAAAUGAUGGGGCGAACCUGUGUCAAGGACUGCAUUGCGGCCGCCCAUCGAAAGGGAAAAGGGUUAAGAUUCCCUCACCUGGACAAGGCGACGACGACGAAGUGAGCAAGCCCGGAGACGUCGGCGGAGGCCCAGGAACGAGUUCUCUUUUCUGUUUGACGGCUCGAAGGCCCUAGAAUGGGAUCAUCCCGAGAUAGGGCUCAGCAGCCGGUAAAGUGCCUCAACUAUGAGGCGUCUGGCGCGCUUCUGACGGCCCUUGAAAAUCCGGGGGAGCGACUGAUCUUGCCAGGCCGUACUCAUAAUUAUGAGUAUAUCCGCAUCAGGUCGCCAAGGUGAACAGCCUCUAGUCGAUAGAACAAUGUAGAUAAGUGAAGUCGGCAAACUGGGUUUGUAACUUCGGGAAAAGAACUGGCUCUGAGGGUUAGGCCCGGGGUUCUGUAGCUCGAAACCGGGUCAGGCCCGGGGUUCUGUAGCUCGAAACCGGGUCCGGCCCGGGGUUCUGUAGCUCGAAACCGGGUCCGGCCCGGGGUUCUGUAGCUCGAAACCGGGUCAGGCCCGGGGUUCUGUAGCUCGAAACCGGAGGCUGAAUGCAGUCUGCUCGAGCCGCUUCGCGUGGCGAGGGCGGACGGUUGCAUGCCCCCGCGGAUAGCCUCAGAAAGGGCUUCUACCCGCGGUAGUAGCCGACUCAGAACUGGGACGAACAACUGGGAAUCCGACUGUUCAAUUGUAACAAAGCAUUGUGAUGGGACGAACAACUGGGAAUCCGACUCUUCAAUUGUAACAAAGCAUUGUGAUGGUCCGCAAGGGAUGCUGCCACAAUGUGAUUUCUGCCCAGUGCUCUGAAUGUCAAAGUGAAGAAAUUCAACCAAGCGCAGGUAAAUGGCGGGAGUAAGUGUGACUCUCUUAAGGUAGCAAAUGUCUCGUCAUCUAAUUAGUGACGCACGGUGAAUGGAUUAACGACAUUCUUACUGUCCCUAUCUACUAUCUAGCGAAACCAUAGCCAAGGGAACGGGCUUGGAAGAAACAGCGGGGAAAGAAGACCCUGUUGAGCUUGACUCUAGCUAGGUCGACUUUGUGAAGUGACUUGAGGGGUGUAGAAUAAGUGGGAGCGUACGCGCCGGUGAAAUACCACUACCUUUAACGUUGUUUUACUUAUUCCAUUGCUUGGAAGCGGGUCUCCGACCCUCCAUCUGGCUCUAAGGCACCCUCGGGCACCUACCCAGGUGGAAGACCUUGUCAGGUGGGGAGCUCGGCUGAGGCGGCACAUCUGUUAAAAGAUAACGCAGAUGUCCUAAGAUGAGUUCAACGAGAACAGAAAUCUCGUGUGGAACAAAAGGGAAAAACUCAUUUUAUUUGAUUUUCAGUACAAACUGUGCAAGCAUGGCCUAUCGAUCCUUUGGACCUGCGAGAUUUGCAGCUGGAGGUGUCAGAAAAGUUACCACAGGGAUAAUUGGCUUGUGGCAGCGAAGCGACCAUAGCGACGUUGCUUUUUGAUUCUUCGAUGUUGGCUCUUCCUAUCAUUCGGAAGCAGAUGAAUUCAGAAAGUGUCGGAUUGUUCACCCGCCAAUAGGGAACGUGAGCUGGGUUUAGACCGUCGUGAGACAGGUUAGUUUUACUCUACUGUUGUGCCGACCCCGCCAUAGUAAUGCGGCUCAGUACGAGAGGAACCGCCGGUUCGGAUAAUUGGUAAUGCGCUCGCCCGAAAAAGCGAUGGCGCAACGCUACCAUCCGUUUCCUAACACCUGAACGCCUCUAAGGUGGAAGGAGCGCUAGGAGCGGGGUCAUUCAUCCCAACGAUCGUCACCAGUUUACGGAUAGGCUUGCCUGUGCCGGGUCAGGAGCAUACUCGAUGGCAAUCCUCUUCGCUUGUUGGGGUAAAUCCCUUGCAAACGACUCGGAACGAAUGCAGUAUUGUAAACGGCAUAGUGGCCUUGCUGCUACGAUCCGUUGAGAUUUAGCUGC
rnacentral:rRNA from 1 species